AGUAAGGAAUAUUGGUCAAUGGACGCAAGUCUGAACCAGCCAUGCCGCGUGGAGGAUGAAGGUCCUCUGGAUUGUAAACUUCUUUUAUCUGGGACGAAAAAGGGUCUUUCUAGAUCAACUGACGGUACCAGAUGAAUAAGCACCGGCUAACUCCGUGCCAGCAGCCGCGGUAAUACGGAGGGUGCAAGCGUUAUCCGGAUUCACUGGGUUUAAAGGGUGCGUAGGUGGGUUGGUAAGUCAGUGGUGAAAUCCCCGAGCUUAACUUGGGAACUGCCAUUGAUACUAUCAGUCUUGAAUAUUGUGGAGGUUAGCGGAAUAUGUCAUGUAGCGGUGAAAUGCUUAGAUAUGACAUAGAACACCAAUUGCGAAGGCAGCUGGCUACGCAUAUAUUGACACUGAGGCACGAAAGCGUGGGGAUCAAA
rnacentral:rRNA from 1 species